rnacentral:rRNA from 2 species
UGGCCCCAAGUCAGGCGAGGCCACCCGCCGAGUUUAA